GCAGGUCCUGCAGCUGGUUACGCCCGCCGGUCGCCCCCGGCAGCGCCGACAGUCGCUCCACCCAUCAGUCUUCGUACGGCCCUCCCUUCGAUAGAAACGCAGACCGAUCAUGGCAGACCUGAACGACGGGGAGGACCAUCUCUCCCAGGAUCAGAUUAACAUGCUGCGCAAGGCGUUCGACUCGUUCGACAAGGAGAAGAAGGGCUGCAUCCACACCGACAUGGUGGGCUCCAUCCUCGAGCUGUUCGGCCACAAGCUGAGCGGCAAGGUCCUGAAGGACGUCAUCCAGGAGGUGGACGUGGACGGCUCCGGAGAGUUGGAGUUUGACGAGUUCUGCGUCCUGGCGGCCCGGUUCCUGGUCGAGGAGGACAAGGAGAAGAUCAAAGGCGAGCUCAGGGAAGCGUUCCUGCUGUACGAUCGCGAGGGGGACGGCUACAUCACCACGGACCACCUUCGGGAGAUCCUGUGGGAGCUGGACAACACCAUCACGGCGGCCGACAUGGACCAGAUCAUCGACGAGAUCGACGCGGACGACUCGGGCACCGUCGACUUCGAGGAGUUCAUCGCCGUCAUGUGUGGAGAGGACUGAAGAAGUGAUGAGCGCCAUACAGUCAAGCACUCGUCAAGGUUUCGUCACAAUCAUACGGGUUCGAGCAUCGGCGUGCGUGGCGCCGGGAGGGCAGGCAACUCAUCUGGCUCGUGAGGGGCCGCAGUCACGCUGCUGCAAGGCGCUGGCCGCAGGCCGGACUCACACUACUCGGUUUCUCAGGUGUCAGCGCA